UACGGAGGGUGCGAGCGUUGUCCGGAAUCAUUGGGCGUAAAGGGCGCGUAGGGGGCGGGACAAGCGUGCGGUGAAAGCCUGGGGCUCAACCCCGGGUCGGCCGUGCGAACUGUUUUGCUUGAGCACUGUAGAGGCAGGCGGAAUUCCGGGUGUAGCGGUGGAAUGCGUAGAGAUCCGGAAGAACACCGGUGGCGAAGGCGGCCUGCUGGGCAGUUGCUGACACUGAGGCGCGACAGCGUGGGGAGCAAACAGG
rnacentral:rRNA from 1 species